UACCACCAUUGUUGUUUAAAUAAUGUAUAGUGAUAUUAGAAAUGAAGAUAUCUUGCUUUGUGAAAAACGGAUAGGAUAUUAGUAUUAUUAUAUUGCAUACAUGGAUACGGAACAUGUAUUCUAAGGAAAUUUCAGCACUAGUAUUAGUACUGUUUGUUGAUAUUGUAUUUGCCGAAUGUUCAGUUGGCUGCCAAACAUGCUCUGGUUCAAUUUGCACAAGUUGUAAAUCAUCUUACUUUUUAUCAAAUGGCUUCUGUUCAUCAUGUCCCGAAAAUUGUGAAAGCUGUAAUAGCUACGAUGACUGUACUUUAUGUAAGCCAAAUAAGUAUGGUUUACAUGCAAGAUGUGUUUUCAACUGUGAUAGUAAUUGUCUAAAUAGUGAAUGCGAUGAUAAUACUGGAGAUUGUACUCAGUGUAAGCUUGGUUUCUAUGGAUUUCAAUGUCAACACAACUGUAGUUUAUGUGAAAAUGAACGAUGUGAUUUACGUUCCUGUUCGAGUGGUUGUAGAGCUGGAUAUUAUAGGUUUAAGAGCGGUGCUGAAACAAUAUGUCAAAGAUGUCCGUCAAAUUGUAAACAUUGUAUCGAUUUGAAAACAUGUUAUAUUUGCAGUUAUGGUUUCUACCUCUUUAAGUUUAAUGACAAUGUUCAAUGUGUGUCCUGUUUGCAAGACACACAAUGUCCGGAAUGUGCAAUUCAAGAUUGUAACCAGUGUCAAAUACACAAUAAUUCGUUAGUCUGCGCUGAUUGUCCAGAAGGACAAAUAUUCAACGGUAAAACAUGCGAAUCACACACCAUUGUGCUCAAAGGAAUGUUCUACGUAUUGUGAUAGUAGUGGAAUAUGUCAAGGAGAAUGUAAUGACGGCUGGACUGGUGAGAAAUGUUCCGAAACAUGUAAUAGUAAAUGUUCAAAGUGCUCAAAAGAUAACGGAAAUAAUUGUCUACUGUGUGUUGGUAAUUUUUACACGACCGAUUGCAAUUUAGCCUGCAACCCAUCAUGCAUAGUAAAAAGUGGUCAUCAUACAUGUGAACAUGCAGAGGGAUAUUGCUUAAACGGAUGCAACCAAACCUAUUGGGGCGACCUCUGUGAUAAACCCUGUUAUGAUGGAUGUAAAGAUCUUAAAUGUGAUAGAAACAAUGGUACAUGUACGGAUGGAUGUAAGGAUGGACUGACCGGAAACGGAUGUUCUAAAACAACCACAAUCGCUAUACAAGGUGCAUAUGAUUGCUGUUUAGAAUUCAUUUUAAAUAAAUCAAUAAAAUUUAUAAGUGAGGCAUUUUGAUUAAAUCAUAUUCAUAAUUAACACAAAUAU